rnacentral:rRNA from 1 species
GUACUGCGGAGGGAUCAUUACCGAGUUUACAACUCCCAAACCCCUGUGAACAUACCUAUACGUUGCCUCGGCGGAUCAGCCCGCGCCCCGUAAAAAGGGACGGCCCGCCCGAGGACCCCUAAACUCUGUUUUUAGUGGAACUUCUGAGUAAAACAAACAAAUAAAUCAAAACUUUCAACAACGGAUCUCUUGGUUCUGGCAUCGAUGAAGAACGCAGCAAAAUGCGAUAAGUAAUGUGAAUUGCAGAAUUCAGUGAAUCAUCGAAUCUUUGAACGCACAUUGCGCCCGCCAGUAUUCUGGCGGGCAUGCCUGUUCGAGCGUCAUUUCAACCCUCAAGCUCAGCUUGGUGUUGGGACUCGCGGUAACCCGCGUUCCCCAAAUCGAUUGGCGGUCACGUCGAGCUUCCAUAGCGUAGUAAUCAUACACCUCGUUACUGGUAAUCGUCGCGGCCACGCCGUAAAACCCCAACUUCUGAAUGUUGACCUCGGAUCAGGUAGAAUGCCCAAUCC